rnacentral:rRNA from 1 species
AGUGAACGCUGGCGGUAGGCCUAACACAUGCAAGUCGAACGGCAGCACAGUAAGAGCUGGUUCUUACGGGUGGCGAGUGGCGGACGGGUGAGGAAGACAUCGGAAUCUACUUUUUCGUGGGGGAUAACGUAGGGAAACUUACGCUAAUACCGCAUACGACCUACGGGUGAAAGCAGGGGAUCUUCGGACCUUGCGCGAGUGAAUGAGCCGAUGUCGGAUUAGCUAGUUGGCGGGGUAAAGGCCCACCAAGGCGACGAUCCGUAGCUGGUCUGAGAGGAUGAUCCGCCACCCUGGAACUGAGACACGUUCCAGACUCCUACGGGAGGCAGCAGUCGGGAAUAUUGGACAAUGGGCGCAAGCCUGAUCCAGCCAUACCGCGUGGGUGAAGAAGGCCUUCGGGUUGUAAAGCCCUUUUGUUGGGAAAGAAAAGCAGCUGGUUAAUACCCCGCUGUUCUGACGGUACCCAAAGAAUAAGCACCGGCUAACUUCGUG